AAGUUAGAUACAGCUGUCAGGAAACUACAGUGUAACAUUGAGGAGGCUCAUUGGCAGAAAUGGAAUACAGUAUUCAUAGGAGCCCAGAACGGACAAACCAGACACUGCCCAGUUUCGCUGCCAGUUUCUCGACACACCUCACAGCCUGGUUUCAUUCCCAGGUCGUCAAAUACAGAUGUCAACGGUGUUCAUUAAGUUGCAAUCUGAAACACCACCUCUAGAUACCAGAAACUCCUACACACUGGUCCCUUAAAUGUUAAAGAGAGGAAUAAUAUAUAAUGUUUCUUUAAAAAAAGAAAAUAUUUCCAUGUAUCUGUUGUGUUAGUAGGAAAACAUCUCAAUUUGAUAACAUGUUCUUUCUGUCUUCAGAAAUAAUUCCUCAUCAACAAAAUUAAUCCACAGCAUCAAUAUCAACACACAUGUAAACAGUGCUAACAUGUCAUGUCCAUUAUUAUGCGGAUGACAUGCAGAUUUAUGUUAUUAUCUUGUCUGUUCCCAAAAAUGUACCCAGCUAAAUAAAAAACUAAUUUUCUUUCCA